GAACAGCAUACGUUGGCAAACCACGCUGCUGUUCUCAGUACACUAUCUCUCAAGACAUUGCGAUCUGACCAGUGGAAAAACAGGAUGUGGUUAACUUUAUGGCUGUAAACGAUACUGACAUCUGUAGUGGUUAAAUAACUGCCUGCAUAUUGCCACGUAGAUAAUGCUGUUGUACUAUGUAUGUACGUGAUGUUAUACAAUAGUUAAAGGUCAUAGGCUGUUUAUGGAGAGAAAAUAAUCCACGCCUCCAAGCGGAGGUAAAAUAAAAGCGGAGACGAGAAUUACGAGAGGGGCUCCGAAAUUGAACUCUGGUCUCACCGUGUCUCACUGUGUCGUGAUAUCUACAUCUGGUGACCUCGACGUGAUUCAGAACAAACACCCUCGUACCCACUGGCAGGAUCAGCCAACGGUGCACCUCAGCGUACAGCUCCCAUUCGUAGCUGCAGUACUGGCAGAAGUGACCAGGGAGAAACCGGUUCCGGCAUUUUCAGCAGUCGGAGUCUCUACCUGCCCCGCGGGUGCAGUUUCGGCAACUACCAAAUCCAGAGUGGAAAGGCCCAGUUCCGCUUAUAACGUGGGGUCGAGGUUACGCGGCUGUGUCUACGCCUGACGGUCCUGUGUGGGUACCUGCUAGGUGUAUCCGGCCCUGGAAAGACGAUGUCCUGGCACGAUAAUCUUAAGAAUCCCAUCCCUAAUUUUUCUCUGCAACUUCAGGAUACUGGGAUGUCUUCCAGGAAGCGUGGUCGGAAUGUUCCGCAACCUCCCGUGACUUGGGGCCAAAUAAAGAACUUAGCAACACAAGCAGAAAAAGCAAUGGAACAAGCCGGGGUGGACAAGACAACUGAGAAUACCAUUCUUGCUUUAAUUGCGUCUUUAAAUACAAAUUCUAUUUUUGUACUUUGCAUUUGUUGGAUUUUAGGAAGCGCCGGGGCUGACAGGUUGGGGCAGGAGUUGGGGAUGCGGUUUCAACACAAUAUCUGGGUUCAGUUAGCAAGAAUGACAAAUGUGAGUGACUUUUGCAUGACUGAACAUGUACAGGAAAUGGGUAUGUUGGGAACAUGUUUAAUACCCGUAUGCAAAGCACCUGGGGAUAUUGGGAACAUU